rnacentral:rRNA from 1 species
CUGCUGCCUCCCGUAGGAGUCUGGGCCGUGUCUCAGUCCCAAUGUGGCCGUCCACCCUCUCAGGCCGGCUACUGAUCGUCGCCUUGGUAGGCCGUUACCCUGCCAACAAGCUAAUCAGACGCGGGUCCAUCUUACACCACCGUGGUUUUCAAGGAAAACACAUGCAUGUUCUCCUGUUAUGCGGUAUUAGCACCUAUUUCUAAGUGUUAUCCCCCGGUGUAAGGCAGGUUGCCCACGCGUUACUCACCCGUCCGCCACUAAAA